GAAAUGCGAAACGCAAUGCGAAUUGCAGAACCGCGAGUCAUCAGAUCUUUGAACGCAAAUGGCGAUAGCGCAAGCUAUCAUGUUUGUCUCAGUGUAUUUGGUUAUUUACAUCAUAUAUUUAAAUGCGAUUGAGGAAACUCUCUCGUCGAAUCAGGAGCCGUUUGAGGUUCUGAUAUAACAAACGAAGUAGUCACUAAUAAGUGAUGUCGUUUUCGUAUCAGUUCUUCUUUAAAAGACGACUCACCAAAUACAAUAUCCCAUAUGAUACCUGAGAGAAGCAAGGUAACCCGCUGAACUUAAA
rnacentral:misc_RNA from 1 species